UGGGGAAUCUUGCACAAUGGGGGCAACCCUGAUGCAGCGACGCCGCGUGAGCGAUGAAGCCCUUCGGGGCGUAAAGCUCUUUCGACCGGAACGAUAAUGACGGUACCGGGAGAAGAAGUUGCGGCUAACUACGUGCCAGCAGCCGCGGUAAUACGUAGGCAGCAAGCGUUGUUCGGAGUUACUGGGCGUAGAGAGUGCGUAGGCGGUUUUCUAAGUUCGGUGUGAAAUCUCCCGGCUUAACUGGGAGGGUGCGCCGAAGACUGGGAAGCUGGAGUGUGGGAAAGGCAGGCGGAAUUCCUGGAGUAGCGGUGAAAUGCGUAGAUAUCAGGAGGAACACCGGCGGUGUAGACGGCUUGCUAGACCAUAACUGACGCUGAGGCACGAAAGCGUGGGUAGCAAACA
rnacentral:rRNA from 1 species